GAGUUCGAUCCUGACUCAGGAUGAACGCUAGCCACAUGAUCGUACAGGAAGUGGUGUUUCCAGUAGCAGACGAAUGAGUAGCCAUAAGAACUUGCCCUUGAGAGGGGAACAAUAGUUGGAAACGACCGCUAAUACCCCGUAGGCUAAGGAGCAAAAGGAGGAAUCCACUCAAUGAGGGGCUUGUGUCUAAUUAACUAGUUGGUGAGGCAAUAGCUUACCAAGGCAAUGAUCAAUAGCUAGUCCAAUAGGAUGAUCAGCCACACUGGGACUAAGACACGAACCAGACUCCUAUAAGAGGUAGCAGUGGGGAAUUUUUCGCAAUGGGCGAAAGCCUGAUGGAGUAAUGCCGCAUGGAAGUAGAAGGCCCACGGGUCGUGAACUUCUUUUCCCGAAGAAGAAGCAAUGACAAUAUCUGGGGAAUAAGCAUUGGUUAACUCUGUGCCAGUAGUCGCAGUAAUAUAGAGGAUGCAAAUGUUAUCU
rnacentral:ncRNA from 1 species